ACACCCUCAGUUCCUAAAACUGAGGGGUGCAAAGCUAUGUGCUUAAUGGCGAAUGUCUCACUUAAUGGAACCGAGCAGCUUCGGGACAUACUGUGAGCUUCUCUUUCUCUCCGUUUAUUUUUGAUUUGUCGUUUUUCUUUCUUAUUUAGUUAUUUUAUUGGAAACACUGUUGGAAGUUUGGUACACAACAAGGCAGUGAUGCUCCCUAUGUAGUUCAGCUACAACUACUGGAACAUAGCCAAGUCUGCUUCUUUGGUAAAGUUUCACCGAAAUCAACCCUGUUUAGCAUUUGUUAUAUUGCUGACUAAAUUAUUGCUACUUAGCUUUAUUCUUUCUUUCAUAAUCAAAUCUUGUGUUUAAUAUGUUUGAGAAAGAAGAAAACAAGUAACAUGUCAAAUCAAAAGGUGCACAUUCUUAACACUCUCAAGAUAUACUUAAUUUGCCCUUAUAUUUCUAGAACGGUGGAGUUUCUUUUUUGCUUGUUACAUGUCUAUCAUUUUGUUCCUUUGAGGUAUUGUGGUACACAUUCCUAACUCUCUCAGUGUAUACUUAAUUUGCCCUUAUAUUUCUAGAAAGCCAGAGUUUCUUUUUUUGCUUGUUACAGAUCUAGCUUUCUGCCCCUUUUUUUGGUGAGUGUCAGGUUAAUACAUUUUUUCCUUUACAUAGACAUUUAGUAGUUAUUAUCUCGUGGAUAAACAAUUGCAGGAAAAACAAAGAAGGUCUCUUGAGGCAGUUUUUUGUUUCAAAUAAAAAAGGUAAUCAUCUGUCAUUAACUCUAUUGCUUACCAUAUUCUGCAUUGCUUUCUUUCUAACUUGAUUUUCGGAGUAUCUUUUAUUGUUUUUGCAGGUCUUUCCCUUAAUUAUUCGUAGCUCUAACUUUAUGUUUAUUAUGUAUUGCAUAAAAUUGUUUCUAACUUGAGUGUCGGAGUUUUUCUGUUUUUUGUUUUUUGCAGGUCUUGCCUUUGUAUUCCUAACUGUAAUUCCAUGUUUAUUAACCUUAACUCUACAUUUAUUAUGUUUUGCAUAAAAUUGUUUCUAACUUGAGCAUCAGAGUAUCUUUUUUGUUUUUUGCAGGUCUUGCCAUUGCAUUCCUAACUCUAACUCUAUGUUUAUUAACCCUAACUCUAUGUUUAUUAUGUUUUGCAUAAAAUUGUUUCUAACUUGAGCUCCGGAGUAUCUUUUUUUUUUAUUUGCAGGUCCUGCAUUUGUAUUCCUAACUAUAUAACUCUAUGCUUAUUAACUCUACGUCUAUUAUGUUUUGCACAAAAUUGUUUCUAACUUGAGCGUCGGAGGAUCUUUUUAGUUUUUUGCAGGUCUUGCCUAUGUAUCCCAAUUCAAGUAGCAGAGUUGUUGAAACGGAAUGCUGGUGCCUUGUGGGGAACGUCAUCUGUUUGGCUUUUGAUCAGUUUGCCUCUAGGGUAUGUCUGACUUCAAAGGAUACAAAUGAAGGCAGAUUAGUCCUGUGAAUCAUGUACUAGUGAGAUCCUCCUCUUCCCUAAAGGAGGCUGCAUCUCGGCUGAAAAGGUAGUGCCUGCUUAUUUGGAGGCCACUCAUUAGGCUGGUGCCUGGUGGAGAAUGCUUGUCAUUUGACCAGUCUGUUGCAAGUUACGUUCAAACCAAAGUAACUCAUUUUGAGCUUGCUUAUUUGGCUUUCCUUGUAUGUUUUUCCUUAAUGACCUUGGAUUUGAGAUGAAGAGGCAUUUGGGUAGGUGAAGGUGAGAUAAUGUGAUGAGGUCACUGUCCUCCUUUAAUUAGCUGUCACUAGAUGUAGAGGGUAUGCUCAGUAUGCUGUUUGUUUUUUUAGGAAUGAACUUGUUGGCCAAAAUCUAUGAAGAACUUUGCUCUUUCUCUCAGGCAUUUCCAAAUGUCUGCAAUUCCUAUUUAUCUGAUUCCAUUGUUUAUGUUUUAGGCUUUUUACGUCAAAGAUGUGCCAGGAUAUUUAGUAGGAUGUGAAAAGUGCAAUGAUGCGGUGACACUUGAUAAGCCAAGCCUGGUGGUCAUUGAAAGAUGAAUUGGUGGCUCCAGAGGAUCUUUGCCUUGCGUAUAUAUUGUUUCUGAUAAAGCUCCUAGCAAUAUUGUGAGUAGGCAGGGUAGUGUAUUAUCCGCUACGAAUUCUAUUGUGGUUCACGUGAAGCUGACAUCAUGCCUUCCUGCUGCAACCUCCUUGACUCCAAAAUUAUGACCGAGGGUGAUGUUGUGGGGGAGAAUAGGCAGUGCCUGAAGAAAUUUGGUUUUUUAAAGGUUUUAUGAACUAUUUGAAGAACUCUAAGUUUAAACUUCCUCACCGAGUUUCAAAACCCUACUCGUUCAAUCACUGCUUUCUUUUCCUCUCAUAUGUAUCUAAAAUCCGGAACAAUGGGUUUCAAUUCACCCA